AGUGGAUUAGGAAGAUCAACUUAAACAGGCAUGACAGAGCUGAUCCUUGUAGGUUCAAUGCCAAUCAGCACUAGACAGAAUGAGUGCAUCUAUCAGGAGAUUGAAGAUCAG